rnacentral:tRNA from 1 species
GCAUCAGUGGUGUAAGGCGUAGCAACACUGCUCGGAAGGCAGAAGGCGUGAGUUCGAGUCCCGCCUGGUGCA